rnacentral:rRNA from 1 species
AUACGGAGGAUCCGAGCGUUAUCCGGAUUUAUUGGGUUUAAAGGGUGCGUAGGUGGUUUGAUAAGUCAGCGGUGAAAGUUUGCAGCUUAACUGUAAAAAUGCCGUUGAAACUGUCGGACUUGAGUGUAAAUGAGGUAGGCGGAAUGCGUGGUGUAGCGGUGAAAUGCAUAGAUAUCACGCAGAACUCCGAUUGCGAAGGCAGCUUACUAAGCUACAACUGACACUGAAGCACGAAAGCGUGGGGAUCAAACAGGAUUAGAUACCCUGGUAGUCCACGCAGUAAACGAUGAUUGCUAGCUGUUUGCGAUACACAGUAAGCGGCACAGCGAAAGCGUUAAGUAAUCCACCUGGGGAGUACGCCGGCAACGGUGAAACUCAAAGGAAUUGACGGGG